UAUUGGACAAUGGGGGAAACCCUGAUCCAGCGACGCCGCGUGAGUGAAGAAGUAUUUCGGUAUGUAAAGCUCUGUCAGCAGGGAAGAAAGAAAUGACGGUACCUGACCAAGAAGCCCCGGCUAACUACGUGCCAGCAGCCGCGGUAAUACGUAGGGGGCAAGCGUUAUCCGGAUUUACUGGGUGUAAAGGGAGCGUAGACGGUAAUGUAAGUCUGAUGUGAAAGCCCGGGGCUCAACCCCGGGACUGCAUUGGAAACUAUGUAACUAGAGUACCGGAGAGGUAAGCGGAAUUCCUAGUGUAGCGGUGAAAUGCGUAGAUAUUAGGAGGAACACCAGUGGCGAAGGCGGCUUACUGGACGGAAACCGACGUUGAGGCUCGAAAGCGUGGGGAGCAAACAGG
rnacentral:rRNA from 1 species